rnacentral:rRNA from 1 species
GAUGAACGCUGGCGGCGUACCUAAUACAUGCAAGUCGAGCGAAUGGAUUAAGAGCUUGCUCUUAUGAAGUUAGCGGCGGACGGGCGAGUAACACGUGGGUAACCUGCCCAUAAGACUGGGAUAACUCCGGGAAACCGGGGCUAAUACCGGAUAACAUUUUGAACCGCAUGGUUCGAAAUUGAAAGGCGGCUUCGGCUGUCACUUAUGGAUGGACACGCGUCGCAUUAGCUAGUUGGUGAGGUAACGGCUCACCAAGGCAACGAUGCGUAGCCGACCUGAGAGGGUGAUCGGCCACACUGGGACUGAGACACGGCCCAGACUCCUACGGGAGGCAGCAGUAGGGAAUCUUCCGCAAUGGACGAAAGUCUGACGGAGCAACGCCGCGUGAGUGAUGAAGGCUUUCGGGUCGUAAAACUCUGUUGUUAGGGAAGAACAAGUGCUAGUUGAAUAAGCUGGCACCUUGACGGUACCUAACCAGAAAGCCACGGCCAACUACGUGCCAGCCGCCGCAGUAA